UUUAAAAUUACAGAGUAGUUUUUGUAUAAAGCUUAGAUAUAAAUAAACAACGAUUUUAUAAAGGAGAGGAUUUACUAAGGCAAUGAAUGUAGGCUUUAUUCUCAGAAGGCUGACAUAUUGGAAGAUUUUUUGAGUCCUCAAAUCAAUGUAUAUGCUGAAGAAGAGUCGGAGGCAAUCUCGUACUAGCAUUAUAUCCUGUCACAUGUCUUCAAGGUCGAAUAUUUGGGUAUCGAUAUCAGUGGCGCAUGUACUGACAGCAAAGAAAGUGCAAGUAAACCUCUCCAGAUUUUUUGUCGUCAACAACAUACAUAAAAUCUGGAGUUCCAUUUGCAAAUUAAAUAAGCUUCA